GCCAGUGGCCAUAUCACCCUGCAACUCACAACUGACAGCCCACUGAACCUAAGCAGGUAUGAGCUUGUUUAGUAUCUGGAUGGGAGACCUCCUGGGAAAAACUAUGUUUGUUGCUGAAA
rnacentral:rRNA from 1 species